rnacentral:lncRNA from 10 species
CCAACUCCUUCAUGUACUUUUAAUACUUAAAGCAUGUGUUUUUAUCUUUUAAAUCCACAGUUCAGAGUCGUGACACUUCAAGAGGUGGGCAGAUUAUUCAUUUGUGAAUGAACAGCAUUUAUGAGAAAUUUGGAGAAAUUUUAUGUUUGAGAGACACGAAGAAUCCAGAGCUUUCCAAAACAGACUGAUGAUCACACCCACCGGGGAGUUUAUGAAAAUGCAAGCCCCUGGAGCACGGGCCUCUGCUGGAUAUUCGGAAUCAUGGGGCUGAGUAGGGCCAGGAAUCUGUACUUUUAGAACAGCCAUAUUAUCUAAAGUAUAUAGUCAUUCCCAGUCCAAGCUCUGUAAAUCCUGAAGAGAAAAAUCUAAAAACUGCAUAUCCGGAUUAUGUUAUUCUAGCUUCCUGUAGAAAUCAGGCUUCAAGGAGCAUACAGCCAUUCUCAUCAACAUGAGACACGGAUUUGUAGGCAAUUUCUGUACCUUUCAUAAAGCUGGCUAAAAGCAUCAGCCGUAAAAGCAGCGCAUCCAGAGGUACUUGUUUCCUGGCCUUCUGCGAAGCCCACAGAUAAAUUAGGUCUCAUUUGGAAACGUCCCAUUUCGAAAAGCCUGAGGUAUCUAUCUCUGCCUACCGACUGAUUUACAGCCUCACUUUAAAAUGUUAGUCUGUUCUUAAAAAGGGUUUAUAACUGCAUCUACUAUAAUA